GAGAUCAGGUUGAGCCAAUGCAGGUGGAAUCACGCCUUGCCUGCCAAUAGGGGGCGCUGCGGUUUGAUACUGUGGAGAAUUCUCUUGACAUCACAUGUGAAGGAGAGAGACUCCCUUGGAAUUUCCGGAAGUGCUGAGGGGUCAAAGUUUGUCAUGACAUAAGUUUUAUUGAUACUGAAUAUGGAUGAAAUAACUGUUUGUUAUCUGCACGAAUGAAUUGGAUACCUUGGAUUUAAGUGAGUGUUGAAGGCUACCCGUGGUUCAGUUGUCCUCGUCUCUGGAUUCUAAAAAAAACGUGCAAUGAGAGCGCCAAGGAAGCGUGAGAGAAGCGGAUCGCGAGAAUUCAGUUUCUGCGUCCACCACGCAAACGAUGAUGGCGAUCUCGGUCCACGAAUCCCACUGACGGAAAGCGAGGAGACCGAUCUCUUUAGAGUAAUAAUAUUAACAUGCCCCAUUAGUAUGCCUAGAUGUCCUGUCAGUGGGAUGGUGGUCCUGUUUUCAAGAGAGGAAACUCACUGAGUGGUUAAGGAUUUCUCACACUCUGCUGCUGUGUGUUUCACGGAAACGGCUAAAUGACACCAUUCCAGAUAGCACGCUCCAUCUGCCAGGCUUUUAGCUGUACAGAGCAGACCAAGACACAGAAUCAACAGGGAAAUCGUGUGGCGGCAAGAUAUGCUUUUACAUCGACGGAAGGUGGAGUACAGAUGUAACAGUGUUAAAUAAGAUGUGCUGUUCAGAUCUAGAA